AUUGUUUAGUCUGCAUAAAUAGAGGCCAGACCCAUAGAGCCCAGGAGGCAAGCGGCUCGCCCUCUAGCGGUUUCACUGGCUAAUGCCGGUCACUCACCGGAGCACUGACAGGAAGGCGGGAGCGUGAGGGCUAAAAUGACGCAGAGAUCCAUUACUGCGCGCGGCAGGGGAGAGGAUGCUGCGCGGAGGUUCCUGCCACUUUACAGCUCACUGGCUCGCGCUACCUCACCAGCCUGGGAUGGGACGCUGCUGAAAGACCAGCCUAGCCUUCGGCUCUUCUCUCUGCGCAGGACCUUAGGGUCCCGUGCCCCUGCUGUGUCCCCUAACCACUCACUCUCGCCAAUCCCGUGCAGCAAUCGACCGCAUCCUAAGUUUUAAAUUGACAAGGUCAAAUAGGGAACCUAGUGCAUGGACACAAGAGAAGCAAUGAACACAUGUGCCCUCCGGUUGCUGCCUACCCUGCUGUAUCUCAGACAGCGCUGGAAUCCGGCUCCACCACAGCACAUUUUCAUCAUUUCUCCAUGGGGCUCGAACCUUUCAGCUCCUCCUUUCUCCAGUUCCAGCCCUGGCUUUUCCCUUUCUGUAAAUGACCUUGGAUAUCAGACAGUCUCAAAAGCGCUUCAUAUCAUUCUACUCUGAGCUCAUAGAGUAGGGCCCUUCUGCCUCUCCAAAAUUUAACCACAUUGUUUUGUUUUGUUUUAUCUCACAAUGCUUUAUUUUAUGUAGAUGGAUUGACUGACUGACUCUGUGUGUGUGUGUAGUGUGUGUGUGUAUAUGUGUGUGUGUGUUAGUACACAUGUGUAGGUCCAAGGGCAAUGUGUGUGAGGGAUUUCUUUUUCUCUUUCCACUAUGUGAAUCCCAUGGAUCGAAUUCAAUUGUCCAGGUUUGGGGACAAGUGCCUUUACAAAAUGAGCUACCUCCUCAGACUAGCUUUUAUUUGUUUAAAACAUAGCAAUGAUCUACCAUUGCAAUUUAGUUUGUUCUCACACAUUACAGUACAAGCCCCAUGUCUUCCCUGUUCUCGACCUUCUCUUUGGGUUCUAGGAUAAUGCCUGGCUUAUACAUGGCAUUCAACGAGUAUUUGUUAAACGGAUUAUUGGUUGUGAUUUCCUAGUCACUGGCUUCUAAAUGCUACUUGUAAUAUUCUGAGUAUUCGCCUUUGAAUUUUAAAUUUAUUUGUAUGCCCAUAUGCUUCCUCUUCUCAAGUGUGAACUCCAUGAGGUGGGAUCGCAUUUAGUUCAUUUCAUUUUCUACAGCCUUAUGGAGUCUGGCACAUUACAGGUGUUUAAUAUAUUUGUUGGGUAAAAAUUGCCAUAAGGGAAAGGAUAAUACAUUGACUCAAUUCGACCUUGUCCCAGGUCUAACCUUUCACCAGAGAAGACGAGAUGAAUACUGAUGCCCAAAGGGAUAGAUUGCCACUUUGAUCCCUCUCUCCUCCUCGCACACUUGUUUGCUGUAUUUUCAAAGGAUAUCCUCAUCUUUGUUAUUUUAUUUGAUCUUCAUGCCAGCUGGUAUCUAGGAACAGAGGCUCGGGGUAUUAACUGACCUGCUCAAGCUUACCCAGCUAAAAUGAAGCAGACAGGGCUACAGGAUGCUAAUUUCAUAUACUUGCAUACCAGCAUUUGUGAAUAGCUUCCUUCCUCAACCAUAUUUGUGGUUCAAAUGGAAUCCUAAAUUCAAAACAUCUUCAGUCAGGUCUAACACAUUCCAGGCUCCCAAUAAAUGGCCCUUCCUUCCUUUUAGUUACACAACAGUUGUUCCUUUUCAUCAAACCAUCCCCAUAAAGUGCUUCUAUAGACACGUCAUAUUUUCCCAGGCUAGACUGACCUUUCAGAUCCCCCUAAUGGUAUAAUUUUAGUGUGUAAUAUUAAUUAGAUAUGUUCACAGAGCUGAGCCAUAUUAAAAUGGGUUGUUGUUCACUUACAA
rnacentral:lncRNA from 1 species